rnacentral:rRNA from 1 species
AGCGAACGCUGGCGGCAGGCCUAACACAUGCCAGUCGAACGAACUCUUCGGAGUUAGUGGCGGACGGGUGAGUAACACGUGGGAACGUGCCUUUUGGUUCGGAAUAACUCAGGGAAACUUGUGCUAAUACCGAAUGUGCCCUUCGGGGGAAAGAUUUAUCGCCAUUUGAGCGGCCCGCGUCUGAUUAGCUAGUUGGUGAGGUAACGGCUCACCAAGGCGACGAUCAGUAGCUGGUCUGAGAGGAUGACCAGCCACACUGGGACUGAGACACGGCCCAGACUCCUACGGGAGGCAGCAGUGGGGAAUCUUGCGCAAUGGGCGAAAGCCUGACGCAGCCAUGCCGCGUGAAUGAUGAAGGUCUUAGGAUUGUAAAAUUCUUUCACCGGGGACGAUAAUGACGGUACCUGGAGAAGAAGCCCCGGCUAACUUCGUG